GACGAACGCUGGCGGCGUGCCUAAUACAUGCAAGUAGAACGCUGAAGAGAGGAGCUUGCUCUUCUUGGAUGAGUUGCGAACGGGUGAGUAACGCGUAGGUAACCUGCCUUGUAGCGGGGGAUAACUAUUGGAAACGAUAGCUAAUACCGCAUAACAAUGGAUGACACAUGUCAUUUAUUUGAAAGGGGCAAUUGCUCCACUACAAGAUGGACCUGCGUUGUAUUAGCUAGUAGGUGAGGUAACGGCUCACCUAGGCGACGGUACAUAGCCGACCUGAGAGGGUGGUCGGCCACCCUGGGACUGGGACACGGCCCAGACUCCCUCGGGAGGCAGCAGGAGGGAAUCUUCGGCAAUGGGGGCAACCCUGACCGAGCAACGCCGCGUGAGUGAAGAAGGUUUUCGGAUCGUAAAGCUCUGUUGUAAGUCAAGAACGAGUGUGAGAGUGGAAAGUUCACACUGUGACGGUAGCUUACCAGAAAGGGACGGCUAACUACGUG
rnacentral:rRNA from 1 species